GGGGUUGUGGCUCAGUGGCAGAGCGCUUGCCUUGCAUGCAUAAGGCCCUGGGUUCAAUCCUCAGCACCA
rnacentral:tRNA from 1 species